AUUGAACGCUGGCGGCAUGCCUUACACAUGCAAGUCGAACGGCAGCACGGGAGCAAUCCUGGUGGCGAGUGGCGAACGGGUGAGUAAUAUAUCGGAACGUGCCCAGUCGUGGGGAUAACGUAGCGAAAGCUACGCUAAUACCGCAUACGAUCUAUGGAUGAAAGCGGGGGGAUCGCAAGACCUCGCGCGAUUGGAGCGGCCGAUAUCAGAUUAGGUAGUUGGUGAGGUAAAGGCUCACCAAGCCGACGAUCUGUAGCUGGUCUGAGAGGACGACCAGCC
rnacentral:rRNA from 1 species